rnacentral:rRNA from 1 species
GACGAACGCUGGCGGCGUGCCUAAUGCAUGCAAGUUGAGCGCUGAAGGUUGGUACUUGUACCAACUGGAUGAGCAGCGAACGGGUGAGUAACGCGUGGGGAAUCUGCCUUUGAGCGGGGGACAACAUUUGGAAACGAAUGCUAAUACCGCAUAAAAACUUUAAACACAAGUUUUAAGUUUGAAAGAUGCAAUUGCAUCACUCAAAGAUGAUCCCGCGUUGUAUUAGCUAGUUGGUGAGGUAAAGGCUCACCAAGGCGAUGAUACAUAGCCGACCUGAGAGGGUGAUCGGCCACAUUGGGACUGAGACACGGCCCAAACUCCUACGGGAGGCAGCAGUAGGGAAUCUUCGGCAAUGGACGAAAGUCUGACCGAGCAACGCCGCGUGAGUGAAGAAGGUUUUCGGAUCGUAAAACUCUGUCGGUAGAGAAGAACGUUGGUGAGAGUGGAAAGCUCAUCAAGUGACGGUAACUACCCAGAAAGGGACGGCUAACUACGUG